rnacentral:misc_RNA from 1 species
GAUGAAGAACGCAGCGAAAUGCGAUAAGUAGUGUGAAUUGCAGAAUUCAGUGAAUCAUCGAAUCUUUGAACGCACAUUGCGCCCCUUGGUAUUCCAUGGGGCAUGCCUGUUCGAGCGUCAUUUGUACCUUCAAGCUCUGCUUGGUGUUGGGUGUUUGUCUCGCCUCUGCGUGUAGACUCGCCUCAAAAUAAUUGGCAGCCGGCGUAUUCAUUUCGGAGCGCAGUACAUCUCGCGCUUUGCACUCAUAACGACGACGUCCAAAAGUACAUUUUUACACUCUUGACCUCGGAUCAGGUAGGGAUACCCGCUGAACUUAAGCAUAUCAAUAAGCGGAGGA